rnacentral:lncRNA from 1 species
GGCUUUGGUGUGUUCACACAGAUGUGCACCUGCGGACUUGGCCGAGCACGGCACUCGGGCGCUGCCCAAGCCAAGGUCCUCUUCUCAGGCGAUGGCUGUGGAGACAGGGUGGUCUCUGGGUCCCCAGGUCCAGGUGAAUGCCAGGUUGAGUACGAAGCACAGGAAUCAAAGUGAACAGCUUCAUCCAUGGUUUCUCUCUAAAUCCCUGGAAAACUUUUGCUGAAAUUAUGCCCUUUACAAGAGCCCUUCUUGCAGCACGCUCUCUCUGCUCUCCGUGUGUGGUUGUCAGUGAUGAGAAAGUAACCGAGACAAUUGGCCCACGACCAAGGAGUGAAUGAAAGGAUGGAUGAGAUUCCAGUCCUGGAGCCCUCUCCUGGACAGCAGGUCUCAUAGAGGAGAUGGGCAGGUAACAACACCGCCUGAUUUGGUAGAAUGGACGCAGCUCGUAGUCACGGUCCCAGGCACUGUAAGUCACGGAGCACAGAAUGCAUCAGGUCGUGGAAUCACAUCGCUUAUUACACUGAGGCAAGCAGCCUAACAUUGUGAUCUCCAUCCACUUACAAUACACAUCGAGGCACUGUGUUAUUCUACUUGUGUUCUGCAGAUAGGGUGUAUGUCACAGAUGUGUGGCGUCUGCAUCAUGCUUACAUAAAUGACUGAUUUUAUUCCUUUAAAUCUGAUCCUUUCAACUUCAGUGAACCCCACUGAGAAAAGCAAAGUUUCGUGGUUCCAGUUUGAAGAUAGAGGGUUGAGAUAGUUCAGCAAGGAACCCUUGAAGCACAGAGACAGUUCAGAGUAGGUUAUGGCAUGCUAAGAGGUCCCAGGCAGCCUGUGUGUCUCACCUGGCUUUCUUUCUUUUAAACAACCUGAGUGUUCUUUAAAAGUUGGGUCAUUACAUAUUUGUAUACACAGUGUUCUGUAAUAAAUGGUGAAAUGUUUGUCAGCAUCUACCAAAGGG